rnacentral:rRNA from 1 species
GACGUAGGGCGCGAGCGUUGUCCGGAUUUAUUGGGCGUAAAGAGCUCGUAGGCGGCUUGUCGCGUCGAAUGUGAAAACCCGAGGCUCAACCUCGGGCUUGCAUUCGAUACGGGCAGGCUAGAGUUCGGUAGGGGAGACUGGAAUUCCUGGUGUAGCGGUGAAAUGCGCAGAUAUCAGGAGGAACACCGGUGGCGAAGGCGGUUCUCUGGGCAUGAUCUGACGCUGAGGAGCGAAAGUGUGGGGAGCGAACAGG